rnacentral:rRNA from 1 species
UACGAAGGGGGCUAGCGUUGCUCGGAAUCACUGGGCGUAAAGGGUGCGUAGGCGGGUCUUUAAGUCAGGGGUGAAAUCCUGGAGCUCAACUCCAGAACUGCCUUUGAUACUGAAGAUCUUGAGUCCGGGAGAGGUGAGUGGGACUGCGAGUGUAGAGGUGAAAUUCAUAGAUAUUCGCAAGAACACCAGUGGCGAAGGCGGCUCACUGGCCCGGUACUGACGCUGAGGCACGAAAGCGUGGGGAGCAAACAGG